GGGGUUAUAGUUCAGUGGUAGGGCACACGCUUAGCACGCAUCAAGUCCUGGGUUCAGUCCCCAGUGCCUCUG
rnacentral:tRNA from 1 species